rnacentral:snRNA from 1 species
AUCUCUUCUUGGCCUUUUGGCUAAGAUCAAGUAUAGAUUUUCAGACAACUACCUGAUAAAACUGGGACUUUUUUUUUUUUUUUUUUUUUUUUUUUUGAGAGAGAGGCUUGCUAUGUAGUCCAAGUUGACCUUGAACUUGCUAUGUUGCUCAGGGUAGCCUGG